ACCUUCAUCUUCAAUUGCCGGUACAUCUCAUCUUGUAGUAGCAAUAGCUAUGGACUCAUUUCAUUCAUCCCCAGCAACUUCAACCAUCGCAAUAAUUGCUUUUCCAUUACUGUUACUCUUUCUUUUCUCUUUCCUAUGGAUAUCAAAACAUGCCCCAACAAACACAAACAAGAAGCAAACACCACCAGAAGCAGGUGGAGCAUGGCCUAUUAUUGGCCAUCUUCACCUCCUAGCAGGGCCACAACCACCUCACAUAAGCUUGGCUAACAUGGCUGACAAAUAUGGAAGAAUGUUCACUAUCAAGUUAGGUGUGCAUAGAACUUUGGUGGUGAACAAUUGGGAAAUUGCUAAAGAAUGUCUCACCAUAAAUGACAAAGCAUUCGCCUCUCGUCCAAAGGUAGUAAACAUGGAACUUUUGGGUUACAACAAUGCCAUGAUUGUCUUUGCACCAUAUGGACCUUAUUGGCGUCAAGUGCGCAAGUGUGCCACCAUUGAGCUCCUCUCAACUCACCGACUCGAUUUGUUUAAACAUGUAAGGGAAUCCGAGGUGAAAACAUCACUGGAACAGUUGUACCAGAUAUGGAACAAGAAGAAAGGUACUAAUUGUGACAAAGUAUUGGUGGAGAUGAAGAGAUGGUUUAGGGAUGUUACUCUUAACGUGAGUAUGAGGAUUAUUGUGGGGAAGCGAAUAUCGAGUUCAAGUGAAGGUGGUGAAACCAUGAAGUGUAAGGAAUUAUUGGAAGAUUUCUUUGAAAUGGCGGGCAAGUUUGUAAUUUCGGAUACGCUACCGUUCCUGAAAUGGUUGAAUGUCGGUGGAUACGAGAAGUCGAUGAAGAAGAUAGCGAAAGAAUUAGACCGCAUUGUCGAGGGAUGGCUACGAGAGCACAAGUGCAAGAGAGGUGAAGAUGGGGCAAAUAGUGAGGAAGAUUUCAUGGGAGUGAUGCUACCUAUUCUUCGUGAUGCAGAGGAGCAUGAUGCUGAUACCAUCAACAAAGCCACCAGUCUCGCUCUUAUUUUAGCGGCAGAAGAUACAACAUCGAUUACAAUGACAUGGGCUUUAUCUUUAUUACUCAAUAAUCGUGAUGCAUUAAACAAGGUUCAACAAGAACUAGACAUUCAUGUUGGCAACAAUAGAUUGCUAGUGAAAGAAUCGGAUAUCAAAAACUUAGUGUACCUUCAAUCAGUCAUUAAGGAAACUCUUCGCCUAUACCCUGCUGCUCCGCUUUCUGUGAUGCGUGAAUCCAUUGAAGAUUGCACUGUUAAUGGAUAUCAUGUUUCAAUCGGCACUUGGCUUAUUAUCAAUCUUCAAAAGAUUCAUCGUGAUCCAUUCAUCUAGGAAAACCCUUUUGAAUUUCGUCCCGAAAGAUUCAUGACUACCCAUAAAAACAUUGAUGUGAGGGGACAUAAUUUUGAACUAAUUCCAUUCGGUAGUGGUAGAAGAAUGUGCCCUGGAGUUUCAUUUGCACUUCAGAUUAUGCAACUUACAUUAGCUAAUUUGUUGCAUUGGUUCGAGUUUGAGACCCCGUUGAAUGAAGCAGUCGAUAUGCGUGAAGCAGCUGGAAUGACGAGUCCUAAAGCAACUCCAUUGGAAGUUCAUAUAACUCCUCGCCUACCUACUUUUGUUUAUGACUCCAACAACUAAUUGGAUUGCUAAGUUUGACUUGUAAUAAUGAAAAAAUAAUAUUAUCUUAUACUCUAAUAAACUUCUAAAAUUUAAUUUUGUUAUAAACAUUCUCACAC